rnacentral:rRNA from 1 species
GGGUUCCUCAUGGAGCGCGCGACCCUAGCGAGUAGUAGGUAAGCAAUGGAGAGACGCAGGAAGGUAGCCGAACCGCGGCGAUGGUUGUUCCGCGGGUAAGGGUGUAGGGCGAGGUGUAGGCAAAUCCGCACCUCAUGUGCCUGAGACCUGACACGGACCCGUAAGGGGAAGUCGGUGAUCCUAUGCUGCCAAGAAAAUCUUCUAGCGAGGUUCUAGCCGCCCGUACCCCAAACCGACUCAGGUGGUUAGGUAGAGAAUACCAAGGCGAUCGAGUGAAUCGUGGUUAAGGAAUUCGGCAAAAUACCCCCGUAACUUCGGGAGAAGGGGGGCCCAGAGGGUGACGGGACUUGCUCCCCGAGCCUGAACGGCCGCAGAGACCAGGGAGAAGCGACUGUUUACUAAAAACACAGGUCCGUGCCAAGUCGCAAGACGAUGUAUACGGACUGACGCCUGCCCGGUGCUGGAACGUUAAGGGGACCGGUUAGCCUCACGGCGAAGCUGAGAACUUAAGCGCCAGUAAACGGCGGUGGUAACUAUAACCAUCCUAAGGUAGCGAAAUUCCCUGUCGGGUAAGUUCCGACCUGCACGAAUGGCGUAACGACUUCUCCACUGUCUCAACCACGAACUCGGCGAAAUUGCACUACGAGUAAAGAUGCUCGUUACGCGCAGAAGGACGGAAAGACCCCGGGACCUUUACUACAGCUUGGUAUUGGUGUUCGGUACGGCUUGUGUAGGAUAGGUGGGAGACUGUGAAGCUGACACGCCAGUGUCGGUGGAGUCAACGUUGAAAUACCACUCUGGUCGUUCUGGAUAUCUAACCUAGGUCCGUAAUCCGGAUCAGGGACAGUGCCUGGUGGGUAGUUUAACUGGGGCGGUUGCCUCCUAAAAGGUAACGGAGGCGCCCAAAGGUUCCCUCAGCCUGGUUGGCAAUCAGGUUUCGAGUGUAAGUGCACAAGGGAGCUUGACCGUGAGACUGACAAGUCGAACAGGGACGAAAGUCGGGACUAGUGAUCCGGCGGUGGCUUGUGGAAGCGCCGUCGCUCAACGGAUAAAAGGUACCCCGGGGAUAACAGGCUGAUCUUGCCCAAGAGUCCAUAUCGACGGCAUGGUUUGGCACCUCGAUGUCGGCUCGUCGCAUCCUGGGGCUGGAGUAGGUCCCAAGGGUUGGGCUGUUCGCCCAUUAAAGCGGUACGCGAGCUGGGUUUAGAACGUCGUGAGACAGUUCGGUCCCUAUCCUCUGUGCGCGCAGGAAACUUGAGAAGGGCUGUCCCUAGUACGAGAGGACCGGGAUGGACGAACCUCUGGUGUGUCAGUUGUUCUGCCAAGAGCACCGCUGAUUAGCUACGUUCGGGAGUGAUAACCGCUGAAAGCAUCUAAGCGGGAAGCAUGCUUCAAGAUGAGGUUUCCAUGGGGUUUACCCCGAGAGGCUCCCAGCUAGACUACUGGGUUGAUAGGCCGGAUGUGGAAGUGCGGUAACGCAUGGAGCUGACCGGUACUAAUAAGCCGAUAACUUGAC